CAGUCGCCGCGGUAAUACGAAGGGUGCAAGCGUUAAUCGGAAUUACUGGGCGUAAAGCGUGCGUAGGCGGUUUGUUAAGUCUGUUGUGAAAUCCCCGGGCUCAACCUGGGAAUGGCAAUGGAUACUGGCAAGCUAGAGUGUGCCAGAGGAUGGUGGAAUUCCCGGUGUAGCGGUGAAAUGCGUAGAGAUCGGGAGGAACAUCAGUGGCGAAGGCAGCCAUCUGGGACAACACUGACGCUGAGGCACGAAAGCGUGGGGAGCAAACAGGAUUAGAUACCCCCGUAGUCCCUGUCUCUUAUAC
rnacentral:rRNA from 1 species